rnacentral:rRNA from 1 species
AGCGAACGCUGGCGGCAUGCCUAACACAUGCAAGUCGCACGGGGGGGCUUCGGCCUCCCAGUGGCGGACGGGUGAGGAACGCGUAGGGACCUGUCGAGGGGUGGGGGAUAACCGCGGGAAACUGCGGCUAAUACCGCAUGACGCCGCGGCGUGACAGCCGGGGCCAAAGGCGAAAGCCGCCCGCCGAGGGGCCUGCGUCCGAUUAGCUGGUUGGCGGGGUAGCGGCCCACCAAGGCGUCGAUCGGUAGCUGGUCUGAGAGGGUGAUCAGCCACACCGGGACUGGGACACGGCCCGGACUCCUACGGGAGGCAGCAGUGGGGAAUAUUGGACAAUGGGCGCAAGCCUGAUCCAGCAAUGCCGCGUGGGUGAAGAAGGUCUUCGGAUUGUAAAGCCCUUUCGGCGGGGACGAUGGUGACGGUACCCGCAGAAGAAGCCCCGGCUAACUUCGUG